rnacentral:rRNA from 1 species
GUGCCAGCAGCGCGGUAAUACCGGCAGCCCGAGUUAUGGCCGAUCUUAUUGGGCCUAAAGCGUCCGUAGCUGGCUGCGCAAGUCCGUCGGGAAAUCCACUCGCCCAACGAGUGGGCGUCCGACGGAAACUGCACGGCUUGGGACCGGAAGACUCGAGAGGUACGUCCGGGGUAGGAGUGAAAUCCCGUAAUCCCGAACGGACCACCGAUGGCGAAAGCAUCUCGAGAAAACGGAUCCGACAGUGAGGGACGAAAGCUAGGGUCUCGAACCGGAUUAGAUACCCCAGUGUCC